UGAGGAAUUUUGGACAAUGGGCGAAAGCCUGAUCCAGCCAUGCCGCGUGCAGGAUGAAGGCCUUCGGGUUGUAAACUGCUUUUGUACGGAACGAAAAGGUUUGGCCUAAUAAGCUGAGCUCAUGACGGUACCGUAAGAAUAAGCACCGGCUAACUACGUGCCAGCAGCCGCGGUAAUACGUAGGGUGCAAGCGUUAAUCGGAAUUACUGGGCGUAAAGCGUGCGCACGCGGUUAUGCAAGACAGAUGUGAAAUCCCCGGGCUCAACCUGGGAACUGCAUUUGUGACUGCAUAGCUGGAGUGCGGCAGAGGGGGAUGGAAUUCCGCGUGUAGCAGUGAAAUGCGUAGAUAUGCGGAGGAACACCGAUGGCGAAGGCAAUCCCCUGGGCCUGCACUGACGCUCAUGCACGAAAGCGUGGGGAGCAAACA
rnacentral:rRNA from 1 species